ACUCAAAGGAAUUGACGGGGACUCGCACAAGCGGUGGAUUAUGUGGCUUAAUUCGUCGGCAAACGAAGAACCUUACCAAGGUUAGAAAUGCAGCUGCAUCCAACCCGAAAGGGAUGGAGCCUUCGAGGGUGCUGCACAGGUGAUGCAUGGUUGUCGUCAGUUCGUGGUUUGAACUGUUCCCUUCAGUGGGGUAACGAACGCAACCCCCGUUGCCUGUUAUAUGUCAGGCGAGACUGCUCCCUCACGGGAGAGGAAGGUGGGGAUGACGCCAAAUCAGCAUGUCCCUCUGAUACCUUGGGCCGCACACAUAAUACAAUGGUAGAUAACAGAAGGAUGCAAUACCGCAAGGUGGAGCAAAUCCCCAAACUCUACCUCAGUACGGAUCGAGGUCUGCAAUCGACCUCGUGAAGCUGGAAUCGCUAGUAAUGGUGGGUCAGCCAAACCACCGUGAAUACGUUCUCGAGUCUUGUACACACCGCCCGU
rnacentral:rRNA from 1 species